rnacentral:rRNA from 1 species
CCUACGGGAGGCAGCAGUGAGGAAUCUUGGUCAAUGGACGAGAGUCUGAACCAGCCAAGUAGCGUGAAGGAUGACUGCCCUAUGGGUUGUAAACUUCUUUUAUAUGGGAGUAAAAUGUUCCACGUGUGGGAUUUUGUAUGUACCAUAUGAAUACGGAUCGGCUAACUCCGUGCCAGCAGCGGCGGUAAUGCGGAGGAUCCGAGCGUUAUCCGGAUUUAUUGGGUUUAAAGGGAGCGUAGGUGGAUUGUUAAGUCAGUUGUGAAAGUUUGCGGCUCAGCCGGAAAAUUGCAGUGGAAACUGGCAGUCUUGAGUACAGUAGAGGUGGGCGGAAUUCGUGGUGUAGCGGUGAAAUGCUUAGAUAUCACGAAGAACUCCGAUUGCGAAGGCAGCUCACUGGACUGCAACUGACACUGAGGCUCGAAAGUGUGGGUAGCAAACAGGAUUAGAUACCCCAGUAGUC